ACCACAUCCCCGCCCAGCCCUUAUACACCUCGCACACCCAGCCCCUGGUUGCUUUCUAGCCAUUGUUAUAGACAGCCCAGCGGCUGUGUCCCUUAAUAAAAGCCCCGCUUUGAGUGUACUUGUUUUGGCUCAUUUUAUUUCUCUCAUGCAGAAUGUAUAACUGCACGGCCUGGGAAGUUUUUCUCUUCUGCUCCGGAGGGGGUCUGACACAUUUAAGAGCCUCGAUGCAAUCAAGAGCGCGUAUCCACUUUAAGAUUCUCACAGGUUCCACUCCACGCCAUGGUGUGGGCUGUUGUACAAGAGUUGAAUGCUUUGUAGUUAUUUCUGCUUUUUAAAGAAAAUGAAAAUGCAUUCCAGGACUAGUAAUUUCAAAGCAAGGACCACGUACGUUGUGGCUGUCUUCCGUCUGUGCCCAACUAACCGCCAACCUCAGGGCCAUUAACCAGGACUCUCGCUACUGCUCUGCAGAGCAGCGUGGCAGGAGGUACAGGCGCUGCUUCCGGAGCUCGCCAACACUUCCGCACGCUACACAGCGGCGCUCUUCCCUUCCCGCCAGCCUCUGGCUUGCGCAAGCGUCAGGAGGCAGGGCUAGUGCUCGGCCGCCCUGACCCCGAGGGGGUCCAUACGUCACUGCGCCGCGCCGGGCACUAUUUUUCAUACAGUUACCCGCCUCCCGGAAGGAAAUCCGUGAUCAUGGCGACCGCGGCGGAGCAGUGGGUACUGGUGGAGAUGGUACAGGCGCUUUACGAGGCUCCUGCUUACCAUCUUAUUUUAGAAGGAAUUCUAAUACUGUGGAUAAUCAGACUUCUUUUCUCUAAAACAUACAAAUUACAAGAACGAUCUGAUCUCACAAUCAAGGAAAAGGAGGAAUUGAUUGAAGAGUGGCAGCCAGAACCUCUGGUUCCUCCUAUCUCCAAAGAUCAUCCUGCUUUCAACUACAACAUCGUUUCAGGAGCCCUCUGCCGUGCUGCUCCAAGCCUAACUGGCUGCUGAGCUCCGCUGCUGUACAGAGUGACCCUGUACUCCCCCAUGAUCAGAAGCUCAGGAGAUCCUUCUGUGCUCUCUGGCAUUGGCUGUUUCCUGUCUCGGUUUCCUCCCUUGUAUUAGUAGAUUGUAGAUAAACUCCCAAGAAGGAUCUGUGGACUGUGGACGGUAAAUUUUACACAUCUUAAAAUUGUUCAUUUUACCCUUUUACACUAUACUGAUUAUUUUAUCUGUUUUUAUUAGUCUGUUAAAUACCUCAGUAUCUGCUGAUCCUUAGUAUCAGUUUUUUUCAGUGUGAAGAAUAUUUUUAUUGUAUUCAAGAUUACUAUGUAAAUUGUUUGUGAAAAUUAUCCAAAGGAUGAUUUUGUUAAUAUUGGUAAAUUGUUACUUUAAUUUAUGCAAUAGCUAUUUUCAUUCAGUGCUAAGUUGAUAAAGCACUGAGUUAUUGUUACUUUGAUUUACACAAUACCUAUUUGAAUUCAAUACUAAGUUGACAAAGUACUGAGUUGAAUUUACUUGAACUUUUAUUCAUAUUAAUAUUACUUAUUUUACUUUUAUUCAUAUUAAUUUUACUUAUCUUGAAUUGAUUUUUUUCUAAGUAGCAGCUUUGAGAUAUUCACAUACCAUGAAAUUUAUUCUUUUAAAAUAUACAGUGAACCUGGUUUUUAGUAUAUUCAGGAGUAUACAGUUCUCAUCACUAAUUCGAGAACAUUUUUUUAUCUCUUGCAGUAGAAAUCCCAGUCACUCUCCAGUAAUUCCUCCCUCCCUGUUCCUCAUGCUCUGGCAACCACAGAUCUACUUUCUGUAUUGAUUUGGCUAUUCUGAAUAUUUCAUAUAUAAGGAAUCACAAUAUGUAACCUUUUACGUUGAGCUUAGCAUGUUUUCAAGGUUCAUCCAUGUUGUAGCAUGUGUCACCACUUCCUUUAUGUGAUAAAUAAUGUUCCAUUGUGUGGAUGUGUCACUUGUUUAUAUGUUCGUCAGUUGACGGACAUUUGGGUUAGUUCUCCUUAAGAGUAUAUGAAAAAUAAAAUACAUGAAUAUAAAAAUACGUACAUGAAUGAUAUGCUUUGAACAUUUUCAUAUGGUUACAUGUUUUAAUUUCUCUUGGAUAUAUACAUACUUUUGUUGUAUGAUAACUAUAUUUAGCAUUUUGAGUAACCACCAUACUGCAUUCCAAAGUGGCUUUAUCAUUUUUCAUUCCCACCAGCAGUGUAGGAGGAUUCCAGUUUGUCUACAUUUUCACUAACACUUGCAAUAAUGUCUUUUUUAUGAUAGACAUUCUAGUACAUCAAAGAGGUAUUUCAUUGUGGAUUUAAUUUGCAUUUCCCUGAUGACUAAUGAUGUUGAGAAUCUUUUCAUAUAAUUAUUAGCCAUUUCUAUAUUUUUGAAGAAACGUCUACUUAAAUCACUUGCCCAUUUUUUAAUUGAGUUGUCUUAACAGUUGUUUCUUUUUUGGAGGGCACCAGUUCCUUAUCAAAUACAUGAUUUGCUAAUAUUUCCUCCAUUCUAUGUGGUUUUAUUUUACUUAUUUGAUAGUGUUCUUUGAAGCACGGAAGUUUUUAAAUUUAACAUAAAGUCCAGUUUAUUUUUCCUUCUGUUGCUCUUGCUUUUGUGUCAUACCUAAAAAUGUUUAUGCUUAAUCUAGGGUUAUGAAGAUUACUCUUUUGUUUCAUUUUAAGAUUAUAUAGGUUUUGCCCUUGCAUUUAGUUCUGUGAUUCAUUUUGAGUUAACUUUUAUAUAUGGUAUAGGGUGGAUUUUAACUACAUUCUUUUAUACAUGGAAGUACAGUUAUCCUAGCAUCAUUUGUUGGAAGGAGAAUUUUUUUCCUAUAGAAUUGUCUUGUUGAAAAUCAGUUAGCCAUGAACAUAAGUGGCAUUCGUGAUGUGGUUGCCACUGUGUACAGUGAACUUGAGAAUUGGUGACAUUAACAUUAUAGUAUAGAGGAGAGUAUUGUAAACACAAGGUUGAGCAGAGAAGGACAGAACUGGGUAAAGAGGUUUUAAGGAUGUCUUUACAGCUUUAUGUCGCUUAUAUUUUUAUUUUCAUAAGUAUAAAAGUAUGACAAAAAUCUAUGUCUAAGAAUGCCUAAUACGACUUUUUAUGAAAUAUAAACUAAAAAAUUCUACAUGGCAAAGAAUCAUUACAUUUUAGUUGUUACUGUUUUUCCUUAGUGGUAGAUAAAGUUC
rnacentral:lncRNA from 1 species